ACGAACGCUGGCGGCGCGCCUAACACAUGCAAGUCGAACGAGAGAGAGGGAGCUUGCUUCCUUGAUCGAGUGGCGAACGGGUGAGUAACGCGUGAGGAACCUGCCUCAAAGAGGGGGACAACAGUUGGAAACGACUGCUAAUACCGCAUAAGCCCACGACCCGGCAUCGGGAAGAGGGAAAAGGAGCAAUCCGCUUAGAGAUGGCCUCGCGUCCGAUUAGCUAGUUGGUGAGGUAACGGCCCACCAAGGCGACGAUCGGUAGCCGGACUGAGAGGUUGAACGGCCACAUUGGGACUGAGACACGGCCCAGACUCCUACGGGAGGCAGCAGUGGGGAAUAUUGCACAAUGGGGGAAACCCUGAUGCAGCGACGCCGCGUGGAGGAAGAAGGUCUUCGGAUUGUAAACUCCUGUUGUUGAGGAAGAUAAUGACGGUACUCAACAAGGAAGUGACGGCUAACUACGUGCCAGCCGCCGCCGUAA
rnacentral:rRNA from 1 species